CCGUAGGCCACUAUUGGCUAUGCACGGCGCCACACCUGACCGCGCGCACCGCGGCCGGCUCCCGCCCUCCGUCCCCGCCUGGAUGCUGAGAUAUAAAUGGCCAGGACCCAACUUUAAUGGGAGGACAUCCCUCCAGGUCUCUCUGCCUAGCCCAGCCAUCAAACUUCUCCUAUUCCGACCCCCAGCACUUCAUCUCCCAACUUAGGCAGUAGGAGACAUCAGGAGGUCAAGGAGUCUGAGAGCUGCAGCCAAGACACUGCCCACAUCAGCACCCAGUAAGAUAAGAGCAGCCAUGUGAUGCUGUGUGUGUCCACUAGCCUCUCUCUGGUGUUCUUGCAUUUUCAGGAGCUGAAACACAUUGGUCCAAAAGGAUAAAGACUUAAAACUUAAAAAAAAAAAUUGCAUAGAGAGU